rnacentral:rRNA from 1 species
CUUUAUUGGAGAGUUUGAUCCUGGCUCAGGAUGAACGCUGGCGGCGUGCCUAAUACAUGCAAGUCGAGCGAAUGGAUUGAGAGCUUGCUCUCAAGAAGU